rnacentral:rRNA from 1 species
UACGGGGGGGGCAAGCGUUGUUCGGAAUUACUGGGCGUAAAGGGCUCGUAGGCGGCCAACUAAGUCAGACGUGAAAUCCCUCGGCUUAACCGGGGAACUGCAUCUGAUACUGGAUGGCUUGAGUUCGGGAGAGGGAUGCGGAAUUCCAGGUGUAGCGGUGAAAUGCGUAGAUAUCGUAAGGAAGACCAGUGGCGAAGGCGAAUCUCUGGACAGUUACUGACACUGAGGCACGAAGGCCAGGGGAGCAAACGGG